rnacentral:rRNA from 1 species
UGCCAGCCGCCGCGGUAAUACGGAGGGUGCGAGCGUUAAUCGGAAUUACUGGGCGUAAAGGGCGUGUAGGUGGUUAAAUAAGUUAGAAGUGAAAUCUCCGGGCUUAACUUGGAGGGGUCUUCUGAUACUGUUUAACUUGAGUCUAGGAGAGGGGAGUGGAAUUUCCGGAGUAGCGGUGAAAUGCGUAGAUAUCGGAAGGAACACCAGUGGCGAAGGCGACUCUCUGGCCUAAGACUGACACUGAGGCGCGAAAGCGUGGGAAGCGAACAGGAUUAGAUA